GUGCAUGUGGGGGUUGUGUGUUUAGGGGGGGUCUGUGUCUGCGCUGCGGAGCAAGAGCAAGAGCUAAGGCGAUGGCUGACAUGGCUCUGGGCUUUCCCUACUCUCAGAAGUACUUGUUGCAUUCCAUCUUCGCCAGCGGCCUGGUGAAGUCAGCACUGCUUUUCUCCCCAUUUUGCAGAUGAGAUCGUGGGGCUCACCAGCGUCCCCCAUGGCUUCUGAGUAGCGUGGGAGUGGAGUCAGCACCAAGCCAGGCUCCCCGCGCCUGCCUUGGCCUCACCUGCUCCUGCUCUCUGCCAGAGGCAGCAUGGUCCGCAGGGCACCAUGGGGCCCGACAGAGUGACAGCACGAGAACUGUGCGAGAACGACGACCUGGCCACCAGCCUCGUCCUGGACCCCUACCUCGGUUUCCGCACCCAUAAGAUGAACGUCAGCCCUGUGCCCCCCCUGCGGCGACAGCAGCACCUGCGCUCAGCGCUGGAAACUUUCCUGAGGCAGCGGGACCUGGAGGCUGCGUACCGGGCCCUGACGCUGGGAGGCUGGACGGCCCGCUACUUCCAGAGCCGGGGCCCGCGGCAGGAGGCUGCCCUCAAGACCCACGUCUAUCGCUACCUCCGUGCCUUCCUGCCGGAAAGUGGCUUUACCAUCCUGCCCUGCACGCGCUACUCCAUGGAGACCAACGGGGCCAAGAUCGUGUCCACUCGUGCUUGGUAAGAGGGCAGGACUCCCUGCGGGUAUCCUUAGAGGAGACAGAGCUCAGAGGGGACAAGAGAGACCCUCUGUUCAUGGACUGGCCAACCGGGGAAAAGCGAGGGGCCUGGUCCUCCGGGCAUCCUAGGAAGGUGGUGGGGCUAAUCCCGGAAGACCUUUGUGGCUACCGUGGUGCCGCUGGAGCAGGAGACCCCGGAUGUGACCCCAGGGUUCCUGGGGCUUCCAGGAAAGAACUAGGCUUCUGCUCAGGGCUGUGCUGUCCUUACCUCCUUGUGACCUGAGCCCCCACCACAUGUUAAACACCCCUGAGUGCAGUGAGGAGCCCCUGCCCCUGCCCCUGUCCCUGUCCCUGCCCCUGUCCCUGCCCCUGCCCCUGCCCCUGCCCCUGCCCCUGUCCCUGUCCCUGCCCCUGCCCCUGCGGGGUUCACAGUCUGGUGAGGAGGUGGGGGGCAGACAAGUCAACAUGCAGUUACUGGUCCCAGCUGGUACAUGCUGCAGGGGAGCUGUGAGGAAUGAGCAAGUGCUCCCAGGGCGAGGCUCACACUGACAGGGGAAGCACCCGCCUGAGGGUCUGGUGGGGCGAGUAGGGGGUAGUCCAGGCAGGAGGGAACUGGGGGCAGGAGGUGCUAUGAGAGCGAGGGGAGAGAAUGGGGGCUGUAUCUGCUGUGUGCGUGCUGUCCUGAAGGCUUUCAGUAGAAGGGUCCUGUGGGGCUGUGGGCUGGAGCAGGGAAGCCCACCCAGGCGGGAGGGGAAGAGGGAGAUCUGGAAGAUGGAUCGCCAAUAGCCAGCACCAGCGCCCAGGAGUCCCUCCUUCCUGGGUGCCUCUGUGCCGGAGGUCCGAGUCCCCUGAACACCUGCAGGAGGCCAGGCAUCGCCCACAGCCCCGCCCCCUGGCCUCUUGGCAGGAAAAAGAAUGAGAAGCUGGAGCUGCUGGUGGGCUGCAUUGCAGAGCUGCGGGAGGCAGAUGAGGGGCUGCUGAGGGCCGGUGAGAAUGACUUCAGCAUCAUGUACUCAACCCGCAAGCGGAGUGCUCAGCUGUGGCUGGGCCCAGCCGCCUUCAUCAACCAUGGUGAGGGUCAGGCAGGUGGAUGGGCAGGACGGGAUAGAGCCAGGCAGGGCUGGAGGGGUGUAGUGGGAGGGUUCUGCGACUGAGCUGCCGAGCUCAUCUACCUCUCUUCUCUCUCCUGCCCCAACUGGCUCCAGACUGCAAACCCAACUGCAAGGUAAGGCCUUGGGACUCGGGAGGAGAGGGCACGCAGGAAGAAAGGGUGCCUGUGGCCUGGGGAAAGGGUUUUUGGUCAGUAAAGAGCCAAACACUGGCCGGGCGCGGUGGCUCAUGCCUGUAAUCCCAGCACUUUGGGAGGCCGAGGUGGGCAGAUCACGAGGUCAGGAGAUGGAGACCACGGUGAAACCCCAUCUCUACUAAAAACACAAAAAAUUAGUCGGGCGCGGUGGCGGGUGCCUGUAGUCUCAGCUACUCGGGAGGCUGAGGCAAGAGAAUGGUGUGAACCUGGGAGGCGGAGCUUGCAGUGAGCCGAGAUCACGCCACUGCUCUCCAGCCUGGGCCACAGAGCGAGACUCCAUCUCAAAAAAAAAAAAAAAAAA
rnacentral:sRNA from 1 species